GUGCAUUUCAGCAGCACAUGUACUUAAAUCAGAACAAUAUAAGGAAGAUUAGCACAGCCCCUCGCAAGGAUGACACAUGGAUUCGUGAGUCUCCUGGAUGUUUA